UUGGGGUUGCGGACAUAUCAUAACGAAGAGGUAUCGUAAUUGAAGAGGUUUGGAAAGACCCACCACAGAAGGUAAUAGUCCUGUAUGUUAAACGAGAAGACUUUAGAUAUGAUCCAGAGUACCACGGGACACGUGAAACCCUGUGGGAAGCAGGAGGGACCACCCUCCAAGGCUAAAUACUACCUAGUGACCGAUAGCGUAUAGUACCGUGAGGGAAAGGUGAAAAGAACCCCGGGAGGGGAGUGAAAUAGAGCCUGAAACCCUGCACUUACAAGCUGUGGAAGCACAUUUCUUGUGUGACCGCGUACUUUUUGUAGAACGGGCCAACGAGUUACGUUAAGUAGCAAGGUUAAGCACUUAAGGUGCGGAGCCGUAGCGAAAGCGAGUUU
rnacentral:rRNA from 1 species